UCUUUUGGGUUCCGGCCCUGUGUUUCACUUUGUCUUCCUCUUGCUCGAGGUGGGAGAGGGAAGCUGAGAUAGGGUCAUGGCGGAAAGCCGGAAAGGUCUGCGGGGAUUCCUGAUCGGGGGCGACCCGCGAGAGCAGUCGCUCGUUGGAGCGUAAGCCCUUGGCGCCGCCGUGGAGAUAGGCUUUUCUUCUAGUCAGUUAGGAAACCUGUAAGGGAACACCGAUAAAUAAAUCUUCAGGAGGAACUUGGCCUGCAACGGAAAUUGAAGCAGUUCCCAAACCCGCAUCCACUACCAAAUCUGGCAAGUGUUACUUGGUCCAUCAAUUUUUAGUUUACUUUUUCUUGAAGGAUUUUGUCAUGUAGGUUUUAUUUUACAGAAGCACAUAGUGUUCUUAGAUUUCUCUCUCUUAAAUUUCUAUCUUGUUCUGAACUCAUUAUUUCUUAGUAGUGGCAUUGAUUACCGUAUGUUUGAUGUCCAUGUAGUGCAAAAAUUUGUCACCAAUGUGUACACAGAUAUUUACCAUUUACUCCUAUAGUCCACAUAUAUUCUGUUUCUCUCCAUGUAUAUGCUAUUUGUUGUUUAAGUCUGAAUGUUGUAUUUGGUAGGUCACUCCUUCCACCGAGAACAGGACACAAUUUGCAAAAUUGUACAUGACAAAGCACAUUAUCCAAUGACCUCCAGAACAACAGUUUGUCUCAAUCCUGAACUUCAUGAUUCAUAUGGUAGUAUGGUACACCACAAAACUACUUAGUGCACCUAUGUAUGUAAGUGCUAGUUAGAUUCAUUUCUUCAUAUAUUUUUUGAACUUCACUAUCAGCAUCGGUAUCAAAGAGUGGGGGUUGGUUCUUAUUUUGGUUCAGUAUUUGCACUUAUUUUUUAUUAAUUGCUAGGAGUAAUUUGCAUGUAUUGUGUUCCAGGAAAGUGCAUCUAUAAGAGUAUAGAAAAUGAGGUCUUAAUACAUGUGUCUAACUCUAGCCCUACUUUCAGUUUUGCAUUUACUUGUAGUUUCGAAUUUGACAGAACAGAAUUCAUGUUUUCGCAUCACAGGGAGUUCAGGAGCAUAUAUCCUGGACUGCAAAGAAUUUGCAAAUUGAAGUAGGUCUUCUGUCAAAACCAGAGAAGGAAAAACCUCGUGGCAGUUCUUCUGUGGAAGGGAUGGUAGAGCUCCUGUUCUGUUUGCUUGCUGGACAGAAGGUCGAUCAGGUGUUAUGGGCUUAAAGGUGUUCCAUGUUCCAAUUUUGUGUGCUUUGCAUGUUCUGGGUAUCAGAACACAUGACUUAUUAGGCGUACACCGCUGCAACGUGGGCUGAGACAGUGAGCCAUUGUAACUCAACGUGGACUCAAAAGUGAGAAUUGCAUACUGAAAUUCGUACUGAAGAAAA